rnacentral:lncRNA from 1 species
GUUUGUCUCCAAGCCUCUGAGCCUCGGUGGGGCGGAAGACAGCUCCAGCGUUCAGGGUUCCAAAGGCACUCGCCCUUUGACCCUGCCAUCCCACUCCUAGGGAUUUCGUGCAAGCACGUCCACACCUACAGGGCAAGAUGACGGAGAAGACGUGGGUACGAGGUUAUCGCUGAUAAAUAAGCAGCGUCAGGUGUAACCGAGUUAUGAUGAGGUCAGACUGGAAGAGGUGGACCGUAAUCCAGUGACUGCUGUCCUCUUGGGGGUUUGGCUCAGACUCCCGGAAGGAGGAUGGUGAAGACGGAGGCAGAGAAGGCGGGAGGUCUCCAAGCUGAGGAUCGCCAAGGAUCCCUGGCCACUUCAGAAGCUGCGAAGCGUGUCCUCUCCCAGAACCUUUGGAGACAGCACAGCCAUGCCGACUCUCUGACUUUGGCUCAGUGAGCCCCUGCUGUUCUAAAACACCUGCUUUGUGGUACCGUGCUGGGCAGCCCCAGGUGACUAGUCCCCUGCCCUGUCCCCUCCACAGCAUCACCGCCCUCUGCCUCGUCUUCCCAGCACUACUCCAUCCUUCCAGGCUAGUCUCAAAAGCCUCCUCUUCCUCCAAGAAGCCCUCCCUGAGCAUCUGUCCUCACCCGGCUCCCUCCAAGGCUGCUUCCGCAGAUGUCCGCCUCAUGCCCAACCUCCCAUUGCACCAGGUACCCAAUGCCCCAGAGUGAAAUGUGCUGGGUGACCUCUCUGAAGGGUUUAGAAGAGGCUUCGUUCCCAGAAGCGAGCCUGAAUUGGGUUUUGAAGGAUGACUAAGAAUUUGCCAUUUGGAAAGGUGACAGCUUUGUGCCAGUCACUGAGUACACUUACCUAGUCAUGUGUUCUUUCAACGAGCACACCUAGAGAUUUUUGCACGAAACUGGCUUUUUUGUUGUUGUUUUGUUUUGUUUUUGUCUUUUUAGGGCCACAUCCAAGACAUACAGAGGUUCCCAGGCUAGGGGUCGAAUUGGAGCUAUAGCUGCUGGCCUACGCCAGAGCCACAGUAAUGUGGGAUCUGAGCCGAAUCUGCAAAGUGCACCACAGCUCAUGGCAACGCCAGAUCCUUAACCCACUGAACGAUGCCAGGGAUUGAACCUGCAUCCUUGUGGAUACUAGUCAGAUUCGUUUCCCCUGAGCCGUGAUGGGAACUCCAUGCACAAACUUGUUCACCAGAAUGUGGCCUCAGAGGCAGGAGAGCCCCUCUCUCACCUCCAGCCAAGCCCCCCACUCUUCAGGAGCCCCUAGCAGCCCUGGACUGGCCUUUGUUCAUGCCCAGCCGAAGGUUGUGACUCAAAGGUGUUUUCCAAGGGGGAGAAUUUUGCAGGAGGAAAGGGAGGACAGGGGGACUCAGAGUGAAGAGGGAACCGUGCAUAUGGGCAGGGGACAGUCCUUACCCCAAGUUCAGGUCUGCUACUUUCCAGCUGAGGGACCUGGAGGCUCUAAGCCCUGGUUCUUGCCUGUGGAAUGGGCGUGACAGUGCCGGGCCUGGUUCCUGGUGGGCACUUGCUGGCAUUGGUGAGGCCUCUAUUGUCCACAGUAACAGGCACUGGCCAGCAGGGGGCGGCAGCCCCUGCUGCAACCUGGAGAGUCUGGUGGCAGAUACCACCCUGGUUACCCUCUGGGGCCGGGAGGGGGCAGGUGGCUGAAGGGCAGCUUUGGAGCCAGGUGGUCCCUGAGCUGCCCUUUCUACCUUGCCGCUCUGCGAACAGGGCCCCCGGAAGUACCUCGGGGCCACAGGCCUCCAGGCCAGGCAUGGGCUCUGGGGGUAAUGGAUCUCCUGGUGUUUUGCUGAGCGGCCCACUCAUCCUCUCAGCAGUCAUCCUCCCACGUCACACGUGAAGAAGCCAAGACACAGAGAGGUUCAGGAGCUUGCCCGAGGUCACACAGCAAGUGGCGGAGCUGGGAUCAGAACCCAGGUGCUGUGGCAACACCCAGAGCCCACACUCUUAGCACCAAGCCUUAUGGCUGGUAGCCGCCCCAGCUUCUUGGUGAUGAUGGACAAGGAGAAAUUAUCCAGAUGAAAAGGAGAUGGGGGAGUCUCAUCAAAGGGAACAGCAUGAAGGUGGCCCAGAGGCAUGAGAGUUUGGGCAAAGAAGCAAGGCCUUCAGAGUUGCUGCCCCGGGGGAGGGGGAGGAAGGAGGAGCAGAGGCAGCAGGAGCCAGGUCCAGGGGAACAGCUGGAGGGCUGAAUACGAGGCGGGGGGUGGGGGGUAGAGGUCAGGUCUGUAUUUGGUUUUUGUCUGUUUGUUCGUUCGUUUAGGGCCGCACCUGCUGCAUAUGGAGGUUCCCAGGC